rnacentral:rRNA from 1 species
GAUUAGAGUUUGAUCCUGGCUCAGGAUGAACGCUGGCGGCGUGCUUAAUACAUGCAAGUCGAACGGAGAUAGUAGCAAUAUUAUCUUAGUGGCGAACGGGUGAGUAACGCGUGGUUGACCUGCCCCGAAGAGAGGGAUAGCAGUUCGAAAGGACUGAUAAUACCUCAUGUGGUUGAAGGUUUUAGAAUCUUUCAACUAAACGGAUUUAUUCGCUUUGGGAGGGAACUGCGUCCCAUCAGCUAGUUGGUAGGGUAAUGGCCUACCAAGGCGAUGACGGGUAGGGGACCUGAGAGGGUGGCCCCCCACAAUGGAACUGAAACACGGUCCAUACACCUACGGGUGGCAGCAGUAGGGAAUAUUGGUAAUGUGCGAAAGCGCGAACCAGCAACGCCGCGUGCACGAUGAAGGCCUUCGGGUUGUAAAGUGCUUUUUAGAGGGAUGAGGAAGGACAGU